CGCAGACGGCGGAGAGCUGAGAUGGAGCGCGCCUUGGCCCGCUGGCCUCGGCUGCAGCUCCUCGGGAGAACCCGGGCGCCCACGCGAGAAUCUCCCCACCUGAGGACACUAGGAGCUCCGACCCCUGGAUGACACCAGUAUACAAAGCAGCCACUGGCAGAGACCCCCCGGACGAGGAUGACAGAAGAUGAAGAGGACCAGAACUGACCAGCCAUCUCUCCCUCUUGGCUGAAUGUUGAAACCAAUGCCCUAGUGAGGGGGCAUUGGUCAUUAACCCCUGACCUUUGCUAUGCUUAUGCCUUGAUGCUAUGAAUACUUUCCUAUAAGUCUCUGCUUGUGUUCAUGUGCCAGCGACCUGGAGUGUUUCCCUCCCCAGGGAGUUGUCAGUCUUUCUCCGACGACAACCCUGUUGUUGCCUGUAUGAUGUCCUGAAUGAAAGGAUCCCUUUGGGAACUUCUCUGGAGGGGGACCUGGGCCAAGGGCUUGACCAGCAUCUCACUGGCAAUUCCAAGGCCCAACAUGGGCUUCUGGAAUGAGCAUGAGCCCUGACGCCAUGCUACGGAACUGCCAAGGGCAUCCCCACCUCUUCUCAGAUCUCCCUGUUCUUUCUGGGGAACGGGGCCAAGAAGAGCAGCCUCCCAGGGUUGUUGUGAGUAUUGAAUGAGAUCAAACCACCUCAGGCAGGGCUGGGCAUAGAGGAGGCGGUCAGCAAAUGUCUGUUGAAACGUUUGGUAGGUCAGCCCCUUCCCACCCCUGUCACCCUCGUCUCAUGCUUCUUGUUUAUUCUCCCACAGCGCUCCAGGCAGCCCCCUGUCCACGGGGCUCUCUUGAAGCAGCCAAGCUUCUCGAAAGGCCUGUCUACACUUGCUGUCUUCCUUCCUCACCUCCAAUUUCCUCUUCAACCCACUGCCUCCUGACUUGUUCUGCUCCGUCGAACGACCCUAACUCAGGUCAGCCCUGUCCUCGGCAUGCUGGCUGUGACCUGGCUGGGUCGGCCCAAGAACCAGAGAGAAGAGGCCGAGGCAGCCCCUGGAGGACCGCCGCCCUGCCCCACUGAGCCCGCCCUGCUGUUGGACGCCUGGUGCCUCAUGUCCAGCCCUGCGUUUCUCCACUUCCUCCUGGUUUGGGUUGAAGACGCCAUCUGGAAUCCUCCAUGGAAGGAGACAGCGUGACACAUGACCCAGCACCCUCCAGCAUUCAAAUCGGCAGACUAGGAUGGAAGUGCCCUUGUGAGCUGGGGGGCCCUUCAAAGGGCCAAGGAAAAAACGCGGGCCGAGGGACCAGCCUCUCAAACGGGCUUCGAGCUCCAAUGACCUUCGCUCACCCCCUUGAAAUGUCUGGAAAACAGAAUGGGCAGAUUUUCUGUCUUCAAAGUUUCCGGCUAAACCUCUUCAAGUUCUUUAUUGUUUGGGACUGAGACACUCAGCAAUGUUUCUCCUGCUAGACUGUGAGCCCCUUAAGGGUAAGGAGCUUGCCAAAUGGAUCUUUGUACCCCCAGUGCCCGCCAUGUUGUGGGUGCUGCGUGGGUGGUGUGCUGGGUGAGACGGUGGAAGGAUGGGUGAAUGCGUGGGCGCUGAGUGUAUGAUUGGCUUUCCUAGGGUCGAGCUUCUUGAGUGAAAGGCCAGGGAGUUUGCAUGGAUGUUGAUUAAUUUCCAAGGGCUUAUAGCAUUUUACAAUGUCCAGUGAUGUAUUAGAAUUUUGUUAAGAUAUUCCUAGUUUAUCUCUGUUAAACAGUGUUUUUCUGUCAUUUUAACUUGCAUUGCUUUGAUUACUAAUGAAGGUUGAGCAUUUUCACAUAUACUUGUUAACCAAUUGUAUUUUCUCUUCUGUGAACUGUUUGUCCAAGUCCAUUGGGUCAUGGCUUUCUGGUGAGACUGUUCAAGGAUGGAAUGGGUGUCCUUGGGAUGUAGUGAGCCCUCCGUCACUGGAGGCAUUCAAGGGACAGGCCGGGCAGAGCUUUGAUGAGGGUAGUUUAAAGGAGAUUCACAUAGCAGGCGUGGGGUUGGUCUAGAUGGUCUUGCAGGUCUAUUUGACUAGGAUUUGCUUCUCCCUGGAAAUGGGGGGUGGGGGCCUCUUCCACUUGGCAGCCUGGCAACAUUUAAGAUCACAUUUAAGAACCCUGGCUGGGUUCAUACAUAUAUGAUUUAUAAACUCUACACCAUACCCUCUGGAACUCUUGUGGGACAGGAAUAAUCUCUUUGACCCUCCGAGGCCCAGAUAACCAUGCCUAGCAUCUCGUGCAGUUAGCUGGUAACUUCCCGCCAGCCCUGACACCCAGCCUUGUUUUCCUUUGAGGAAGCCAGCCCCCUGGACCAUCAUUUUCCACCUCUUAGGGAAUCAGGAGAGACCAUCUGUCCUUUGCAUUCCCAGUGUCCUGUGAUGUGUGAGCAAAUGUCCCCGAGGCCUUAGAUGGAUGGCACAUGUUAGAUCAGGACUGGUGAAGAAUCCUUUGUGUUUUCUUCAGUGGGGCAAUUAAAUUCCAUGACCCAAGGAACAGAAUGGACCCCCUGGUCUUCUUGGGUUUCCCCUUGUGCCCCACCACAAACUGACCUCAGCUCAAAGUCCAUCGAGACCAUUUGGGGAGGGUGUGUCACCCACGGGGGGCUUGCCCUACUUCCAGAACACCCCUGCCCUCAGCAGAGAGCUGCUUCCUCCCGCCAAACCCUCUACUAUAGCACUGAGCGCGUUUGCCUGCGGCAGAAUUAGUCAUGCACAUGUCUGUCCCAGCAUCGAGGCUUGGAGGCCAGCAAUGACUUCCAGCAUUAAUUUAAUCCAUCCAUUCAUUCAUCUGUGCGUUUGGCCUCCAUUUCUUGACCUGGUGCUUUGGCCUCUCCCUUCCCUGAAAGCAAGCCUUUUCAUUUUGGGCGGGCUGUGUAGCGCCAUGGGCUGUGGUCAUGAAGCGAACGCCCUUACUAGAGCUUUCUCCUUCGGGGUCACUGCUCUGAGCACGUCCCAGCUGGACUCAUCUGCCACUGUCACCCACACGGCUUCUGUCCCCAUGGCGCUUUCCCAGGCAUCACCCUCGGCGGCGGAUCCAGGGCCAGGGUCCGAGAGCCCCCCCGCCCCCCGCUGUGCGCGGAGGUGUCCUCCCCCAGGCCUCCCUGCCUGGUGCAUGGUCCCUGCCCUGAGCUUUGCCUUCAGCCUUUCUGCUUCCUCCACCAGAUGGCAGUGGUUGUAAUUCACCCCUUCAUUCCUUCAUCCCUUCAUUCCUUCACAAUCGACACACGUUUUUCCGAAUUUAGCUAGUGCUAUACUAGAGAUGGCUCCCAACGACUCAUCCCGAUUAUCUCUUUUUGGAAGAGAAGACGGGCCUGUCUGCAAGGGGCCAUGUUUGUGUGCCAGCAAAAGGCGCCACCCUUGGUUCAGCCCCAACUUCCAGAUCGGAGUUCCGUUGGAAGUUUGAUUGCCCUCCCCGACUUUGUUCCUUACAAAACUAGGUUGAUUGGUAAUCAGCAAACUGCAUCCCUGGGUGUUCAGAAAUCAUAACCUGUGUCAAGAGGCCAGAGUGACGGCUAUGGGGUCUGAGAUGAACGGCUGCUUCCGGCCGUGAGCUGGCUUUUAAGUCAUUAGGACACCCUGAUCUUGCCCGCUGGUGAUCUUAGAGCUGUUCCUGUCCCUUUCGAAAUUAGUUAAUGCUGAGCUCUAUUUAAAGAAAAUUGGGGGAGAUGAUUGCUCCCUGAGGUGACAAGGAUCAUGCCCUGUGUGGGGGUCUGUACCAACUCAUCCGUUGACAGACCUGGGCAUCCAAGACACAUGGUACUUUGCAAACCCUGGACGUGGCCCCGAGCAUUCAUGCGGGUCCCAGGCCAGGCAGGACCCCCUCCCCACCUUUAGUUCACUGCUGCCUGUGUGGGACAAGGCAGAGGUCUUGGGGUCUCUGCUUAGAAUUCUGCAGUUUAUUCAUUGCAUUAGAGAGAGGGCGUAGUGGGCAAAGCCAGGACCCUGGAGCUGGACAAACGUGUGUGGUUUAAACUGACCGUGACAGCUUGAGUCUGUCUUCUGGGGGGACAAUGGCACCCACCUCGCAGGGCUGUUGUGAGGAUUGCUGUAACCAGGGCUUUGAACUGGGAUUCUGACCAGGCGGUGCGCGUGCCCCCGGGGGGCUGCUGGGGGUGGGAUGACAGGCCUGGAGGGGCAGCCUGACUCAGCAGGUUAGCGGGAAAUUGCUUUGCCAGACACGCAGGGGACAUCGUGGGAUAGGGUGCUAAAUUGGUAUGACAUUGUAGGGUUAGAUGGGAGUAAUUUUGGCAGGGAUCUUUAUGCCGGGGGAAUGGGGGCCUCUUUGGGCAACACCCUUGCCCCCCCGGGGUACGCGUUCACGCUCACCUCUGUAAAAGGUUGGAAGAACCCUCUGGGUCCUGCCUACCGCUGGGUCUUGCCUGUGGGCGGCACUCACACACAUUCCUCCCUCCGCAAGAGAUCUCUCCUGGCAGUGUCCUCCCCCCGACAUACUAGGCACCGGCCAUCAAAGACACCGCAACGUCCCCUCUCUCAAUUAACAACAUUUGGGCUCAAAUGCCAGCAGCCUGGGUGCCUAACACAGAACCAAGCCAGUGGUAGGGGCUGCCUUCCAUUUUUGUUGAAUGGCCAAAUAAUGAGUUGUAACCACAUGCAAGUGGCAGAUGUUAAAACCCUUACUAAGAGUUUGUAUUUUGCUCCUGAUUAACCUGUUAACAAUCGUUGUAUCUUA